UACGGAGGGUGCGAGCGUUGUCCGGAAUCACUGGGCGUAAAGGGCGCGUAGGCGGCAGGCUAAGCGUGCGGUGAAAGUCCGGGGCUCAACCCCGGAUCUGCCGUGCGGACUGGUUUGCUAGAGCACUGUAGAGGCGAGUGGAAUUCCGGGUGUAGCGGUGGAAUGCGUAGAGAUCCGGAAGAACACCGGUGGCGAAGGCGGCUCGCUGGGCAGUGGCUGACGCUGAGGCGCGACAGCGUGGGGAGCAAACAGG
rnacentral:rRNA from 1 species